rnacentral:lncRNA from 10 species
AGACUUGUGAGUCCCUGCUGGAGUCAGAAGUUUUAGGCGAAUCCCAGGCGCGCCAAGGAAAGUGCUACAAAAGCCAUCCAUCUUGCAAGCGUUGGUGCCGAGGCGCAACGCUGAGAACGCAAAUACUAAAGGGCGCUGUUCUUUCCUCGUGGAGCUCACAGUCCGCUGGGGAGACCGUGAGAUGACAGCAGAGAAACUAGCGCGAUCAGUAGUACUCAGCGCAAGGACAGCGAGCAGAGAAGGCAAACCUAGUGCUUGCUAAGGAAGACUUCACAGAGGAGGUAGUGUCAGGGCCGAGACUAGGAGAAGGAUUUUUCUCGUCAACCAGUAAAACAUCCAGUAACACAGCCAAUGGAAAUAAAUGAAUGGGUCUCUGUUUAUAGUGAAGAUUCUUUCGUUCUCCAGCUCCAGGCUUCAUACGGUAAAACUCUCUGGGAAGGAAAGGAACUCAGAGUCCCAUGCAGAAAAUUGUUCAGCUGGAGGGGUAUCAGAAAGAUGGAUUUCCAAAGCCAACUGUUUCCUGUAGUGUGUGGAUCUCUGCAAGCAGAGCCUCAUCUUUCAAUUUCAGCUACAUGAAAGAGGAAGAAAGGGAAAGAUAUAUGUCAUACGUGAUAUACUUUAUGUGGCUUUGAAGACCCCUCUUUUGUGGGGCUACGGCUAAAGAACAUAGUUCCCUGGGAUGGAAUUGGCUCUUCCUAUUUCCCUACUUCAUGAAAACUCCAGUAGAAGACCUUAGAACCUUGUCCUGGUUACAUGGAUAUGUUUACUUUGUGAAAAUUCAUCAAGCACUAUGCACGGUCAUGAUUUGUACAUUUUUUUGUAAGAUAACUUCAUUAAAAUUUACUUUUUUUAUUUUUAAAAAGUGUUCACAUUAUUACCAGCAUCUCUUGGCUAAUGCAUAGUAUUCCCAUCUGGCAAGUGAUAUCAGGGAAUCAGAGACAGAAAUCAUAGGCUUAUAUUAGAUCUGGUUUUAGUUUUAGAAUCUAGAUAUGUAGUAGAGACAUCUA